rnacentral:lncRNA from 1 species
CAACCAAACCCUCUUUUUGAAGUGAGUAGAGGCGGCUACAUCUCCACCCUUGAUCUCUAAGAUUCCUAAUCUAGAUAUACAGCCUUCAUUUAUCCAAAAACUAUUUUUGUUAUCAAAGUUGAUGGCUAUUAUAAGUAGUUAAAAAAUACUUUUUGGUAAAUCUAACUUUAUUAUUGUGUUCAAAACACCUUUUUAAGCAAAAUUAAACUACUCACAUGUCUUUAUUUAUGAUCAUAUGCAAUUUUUAUGAAGAUAUUUAUUUCAAAAGAUUUUAGUAAUUAUUAAAAACUUCUUCAAAAAUGACAUUUUUAUGGCUCUAUUUAUAUUUUGGUAGAGAGGAUGCUGAUCUUGUUUUCUUUACUCUAUGGGAUAAAUCCAAUGGUGCCAUUAUAUUUGAAAGGCUUCUUUUAAUUAGAGAAGCUCCUUUAUCGCUUGGUUUUUUUGAAUUUGGAGAAAUACUUCGAAACUACUAUUGCUAACUUUCACUAAAAUCUCUUAAAACAUUAUAAUUCUAAUUCCCUCUAAAUCAUAUAAGAUGAUUAUAGACGAAUUUAUAGGCUCUCAAUCAACUCUUAUAGCAUU